GGCGGGGUGGCAGAGUGUUUAUGCUGCGGGAGGUGAACUUCCGUAUACGCCGGUUUGAUUCCGUGCCCCCGCCUCCA
rnacentral:tRNA from 1 species